rnacentral:lncRNA from 1 species
GAGGCGAUUGUCAUGAUCGGCCCAAGGAAUUGCGUGGUGGAACUGUCGUCACGGUGAAUGGCGUGGAGCUGACCGUCUAUGGGAAUGUGAGUGCCAGUGCAUUGCAGCAGAUCAAUCACGCCCAGCAAGAGGAUGCGUCAAACCCUAACUUAUUAGAUCCCGCCGAUGAGGAAGAAGAAGAGGAGCGUCUGCGCCGCGAGAGCGCGAUUGCGCGGGCUAAUCGCGAGGACGAGGCGAGGCGAUCCGCGCCAAUCCCACCGGAUCGGCGCGAGGCGAUCAUGGGUGCGAUGCUGAACGUCAGCAUUGGAGGUUUUUGCCCCAACUGGGCGAGCAAGGUAAACGACGAGCAGUGGAUGGAGAAGCUCAAGGAGCUGAACCCUAGAAAAGGCUAGUGUGCACGAGAUUUGAGCCCACGAGCUCCGUCCCUCCGGAAUUGGGCGAGAAUCGAUCCCCCGACCUGGACACGACCCUCAAAUCCCGAAUUUUGUCCUCUCGUCCAGAAUCUCCAAUAGAAUCACACAGCAUUUUCUGUUAUCUCUCCCCUUUUUGUUUCCGUUAAAAAAGCUCAUCAUAUCCGGUUUGGCAUUUAGCCCGAUUUUUUGCUCCCAAAAGAAAUUCUCGCCAUACACAAAAACGAACGACUCAUCGCAUUAAUGAUUGCGAGCCCGCCACGUCGGACGCGGGAUGGGCCAUGGCCCAUGUGAGCCACAUUACGUGGCCGGCGGGGAUCCAUGACGUGGCGAUCUAUGCCCAUGGCUGCCAUUCAACCCGGCGCUGGGGUCCC